rnacentral:rRNA from 1 species
UACGUAGGGGGCUAGCGUUGUCCGGAAUCAUUGGGCGUAAAGCGCGUGUAGGCGGUCCGGUAAGUCCGCUGUGAAAGUCGGGGGCUCAACCCUCGAAUGCCGGUGGAUACUGUCGGGCUAGAGUGCGGAAGAGGCGAGUGGAAUUCCUGGUGUAGCGGUGAAAUGCGCAGAUAUCAGGAGGAACACCAAUUGCGAAGGCAGCUCGCUGGGACGUUACUGACGCUGAGGAGCGAAAGUGUGGGGAGCGAACAGG